GCUUGUCUCAAAGAUUAAGCCAUGCAUGUCUAAGUAUAAAUAACUACACAGUAAAACUGCGAAUGGCUCAUUAAAACAGUUAUAGUUUAUUUGAUACAUUAUAAAUGGAUAACUGUAGAAACACUAGAGCUAAUACAUGCCAAGCCCGCAAGGGCGUAUUUAUUAGAUAUUCCAAGUAGGUGAUUCAUAAUAACUUCGCAAAUCUCAGUAAUACUGAGAUAAAUCAUUCAAGUUUCUGCCCUAUCAGCUUUCGAUGGUUGUGUAUUGGACAACCACUGGCAAUAACGGGUAACGGAGAAUUAGGGUUCGGUUCCGGAGAGUUGGCCUUAAAAAUAGCCAACACAUCUAAGGAAGGCAGCAGG
rnacentral:rRNA from 1 species